rnacentral:rRNA from 1 species
AAGACCUUGCGCUUUUGGAGCGGCCGAUGCCUGAUUAGCUUGUUGGUAAGGUAAAAGCUUACCAAGGCUUCGAUCAGUAGCUGGUCUGAGAGGACGACCAGCCACACUGGGACUGAGACACGGCCCAGACUCCUACGGAAGGCAGCAGUGGGGAAUUUUGGACAAUGGGGGCAACCCUGAUCCAGCCAUGCCGCGUGAGUGAAGAAGGCCUUCGGGUUGUAAAGCUCUUUCAGCCGGAACGAAACGGUUACGGUUAACACCCGUGACUACUGACGGUACCGGAAGAAGAAGCACCGGCUAACUACGUGCCAGCAGCCGCGGUAAUACGUAGGGUGCGAGCGUUAAUCGGAAUUACUGGGCGUAAAGCGUGCGCAGGUGGUUUUGUAAGUCAGAUGUGAAAGCCCCGGGCUCAACCUGGGAACU